rnacentral:misc_RNA from 1 species
GCAAACUUGGUCAUUUAGAGGAAGUAAAAGUCGUAACAAGGUAACCGUAGGUGAACCUGCGGUUGGAUCAUUAAAAAACAUUUGGUCUCGUGCCAAAUUAACAUUUGUGUGCACCAUUGUCUGUCCUUGGUAGUUCGAGCGCGCUGUGGGAACUCAACACUCCUGCGACGCCUGCAUCGUUCCUGGGCUUCGGUCCGGGGCUUGGCUGUUCUACCGAACAUUUGCAAUAACCUUUUUGAUUUUUUUGUCUGAACGAAGAGUUAAUCUUUUUUGAUUAAUGAUUUGAAAACAACUUUUGACAACGGAUCUCUUGGCUCUCGCAUCGAUGAAGAACGCAGC